AUUAUAUUAUUGUACAAUAAAAUGUUUUUAAAUGUAUAAAAAUCUUUCAAAAAAAUACGAUUUUCCGAGGCCAAACUCAUAAUAUGAGAUAGAGAGAGAUACCAAAUAUAACACUAAUUAUAUUUCCGAAAGGAGUAGUUUUACAGUCACUAUUUUUUCAUCCAUAAAAUGUAAUUUCAAUUUACAGAUAUGACUUAUGAAGUGAUCAAUCUAAAUGGAAAAAGUGUGACACUAUACCAGAAGUAUACUUAUUCAAAGAGUGGUAAAACAUUUCGUAAUCAGUACUGUUCCAAAAAAUGGUCAACUAAAUGUGAAGCUAAGCUCACUCUGUCUGCUGAUGGGGCCAUAGAGAUGGCGAGAACUGUCCACAACCACCCCCCACCUAAAUUGUAUCGUACAACUGAUGGAAUGUAUUACAAAGUUUCAAUAUGAUUAAAAAAUAAUAUGUUUUGCUAAAGGUAUUUUUAUAUUUUUUUUCUGAUUACUUGUAAGAUAAAUACGUAUCUUGUUAUAGAUACAAAAACUUGUGCGUGUGGUUUAUCUUUACACAAUAUUUCUUACCUGUUUUUCAGUAUAGUUGUCUACAAUAAAGUAAUAAUCAUCACAGAUGUGCGUUUGGAAACGAUUUUAUUUUCAGGUCGACUCGUAUUUUCGGAAAUUUAUCGAGGUUAAGCUGAUUUACAACAAUGUUAAGAUGCAACUACAACUUCCAACAAAGCAAGUUUAUUGUAAAAGUAAAUGGACGUCAUAAACGAAGUCCAUCUUCUUUUACAUUGAGUAUUUCUUUAUUUUUCGAUGUUAAGGUACGCGCACAAGACGUUUUUUGUAGUAAACUAAGCUAACCUGAAAUUUCAUUUCAGAUGCAGAGCGUGGAUCAGUGAUUUGGUUCGUAGAAACAAGAUAUGGGUACGAGAAUGAGAAUAUUGCGGUCGAUAAUGUUGAAACAAAAAAUACCGAUUCGCCAAGGGGUGAAGCAAAGGUGCAGUCACAAAAUGAAAACAUUGAAGAUGUUGACAUGGCGUCUCAGUAUGCCAAUAUUGAGUCACAAUAUGCCAACGUGACAACAGAAGAUGACAACAUCGCGCCACAAUAUGACAACAUGACAACACAAGAUGUCAAUAUGGCAUCACAAGAUGGAAACAAUACGUCACAAUGUGAAAGCAGAGUGUCACAACAAGAUGAUGUGGUGCCAAAUAAUGAAAACUUGACAACACAAGACUAUAUGGGGUCACAGGAUGAAAACACAACGUCACGAUAUGAGAACAGAGUGUCACAACAUGAUAACUUGGCGCCUCAAUAUGACAUCUUGACAUCACAAGAUGACAAUAUGGGAUCGCAAGAUGAUAACGAUACGUCACAAUAUGAGAGCAGAGUGUCACAGCAUGACAACUUGGCGCCAAAUUAUGAAAACUUGACAACACAAGAUGAUAACAUGGGGUCACAAGAUGAAAAUACGUCACAAUAUGAAAACAGAAUGUCAGAAUAUGAUAAUGUGGCUCCAAAAUAUGACAACUUGACACCCCAAGAUGAAAACACAACGUCACACUAUGAAAACAGAGUAUCACAACAUGAUACUGUCGCGCAGAAUUAUGAAAACUUGACAACACAAGAUUACAAUACGGGGUCACAAGAUGCAAACACAGCGUCUCAAUAUGAAAACAGAAUGUCACAACAUGAUAACAUUGCGCGACAAUAUAACAAUAUGAUAUCACAAGAUGUCGACAUGGGGUCACAAGAAGAAAACAAUACGUCACAAUAUGAUAAUAUGCUGCCACAAUAUCACAACAAGACAUCUCAAGAUAGCAACAGAAGGUCACACGAUGAAGACAUGCUACCACAAUGUGAAAACAUAGCAUUGAAAUAUGACAACAUGGCAUUACAAGAUGUCAACAUGGCGUUACAAUAUGAAAACAGGACGUCACAAUAUGACAACAGUGUUACAAAAGAUUACAAAAUGAGAGUAUUAUAUGAAAAAAGGUUGUCACAACAAGCCAACAUGGCGCUUCAAUAUGACACCAUGGUACCUCAAGAUUACAGUAUAACGGAAUAUGGAAAAAGGUCGACACAAUGUGAAAAGCUUGGGCCUCAAUAUGACAACACGGUGCCUCAGUAUGACAACAUAGUACCACAAGAUUACAGAAUGACGGCACAAUAUGAAAAACUUGGGCCACAAUAUGACAACAUGGCUCCUCAAUAUGACAACAGGCUACCACAAGAUUACAAGAUGACUGCACAGUAUGACAAAACAUCGUCACAAUAUGACAUCAUGGAGUCUCAAUAUGAGAACAUGGUACCACAAGAUUACAGUAUGACGGCACUAUCUGCAAAAAUAUCGUCACAACAUGAAAAGCUUUGCCCACAAUAUGACGACAUGGCGCCUCAAUAUGACAACAGGGUACCACAAGAUUACAAAAUGACGGCACAUUAUGAGAAAACGUCGUCACGAUAUGAAAAGCUUGGUCUACAAUAUGACAAUAUGGAACCUCAAUAUGACGACAUGGUACCACGAGAUUACAGUAUGACGGCACUAUCUGAAAAAAGGUCAUCACAACAUGAAGAGCUUGGUCCACAAUAUGACAACAUGGCGCCUCAAUAUGACAACAUGGAACCACUAGAUUACAGAAUGUCGGCACAAUAUGAAAAAAGGUCGUCACAAUACGAAAAAGUUAUGUCACAAUAUGACAACAGUGCCCCCCAAUAUGACAACAGGGUAUCACAAGAUGACAACGUGUCGGUACAAUAUGAAAAUAUGGGGCCACAAUACGACAACAUGGCAUCUCAAUAUAACAACGGGUUAACUCAGGAUGGCAACAUGACGGCACAAUAUAACAACAAGCCGUCACAUGAUGAAAAUGUGACGUCACAAUAUAGCAACAUGACGUUAGAAUAUGAAAACGUGGCAUCAAAUCAUAAAAACAUGGACCCGAAAUAUGAAAGUAAGGGGUCUCAAUAUAAUAGUAUGGCGUCACAAGUUGAAGAAAUGAGUUCAAAGCGUGAAAAUAAAGCAUCACAAUGUGGCAAUGUAGCCUCAAAAGAUGAAAACAUUAGCUCAAAAUAUGAAAAUAAAGCUUCUCAACAUGAUACUAUUGCGUCACAAGAAGAAAACAUUAGGUCUAAACAUGAAAAUAAAGCGUCACAAUAUGACAACUUCGCGUCACAAGCUGAGAACACAUCACAGUAUGAAAGUAAAGCGUCGCAGUGUGAUAGUAUGAAGUCACAAAACAAAGACACAGGCUCAAAGUAUGAAAAUAAGACGUCCCAACAUGAUAAUACACAAGAUGUGACACAAGAUGAAAGUAUGAGGUUAAUACAUGAAAAUAAAGCGUCAGAAAGUAAUAGUGCAGCGACACUAAAUAAAAAUAAGGCGUCAAGUCAUGAACACAAGACAUCACAAAUUGAAAAUAUAAGCUCCAAAUAUGAAAGUAAGGCAUCACAACAUGAUAAACUAGCUUCACAAGAUGAAAACCUGAGGUCAAAAUGUGAAAGUAAGCCGUCAAAAAACGAUAAAAAGGCGUCACAAGAUGACAAUACGCCGUCUCUAGGUGGCAAUGUAGUUUCAAAAGAUGGAAGCAUGGCGUUACAAGAUGAAAACAUGGUACCGCAAGAUGACAACCUGGCGAUACAAGAUCAAAUCCUCGUGUCCCAAGACGAAAUCAUGGUGUCACGAGAUGAAGUCGUGGUGACUCAAGAAGAAAAUAUUAUUGAACUGCUAGAUGAAGACAUUAUUGAAGUGCCCGAUGAAGACGUUAUAGAAGUGCCAGAUGACGACGUUAUAGAAGUGAUAGAUACGGAAACAUGUAAAAAUAAUAACUCCAAGAAAAUCGACACGCCCGUAAAAAUAUACUUUACACCCUUCGACCAUAAUUAUUGCAAUAAUUUCCAAUGGUUAAGCCACGUAAAUUCAACAAAUGAACAAAAUUCUACACAAGAGACUGUCGCAGUUCAUAACCAAAUAGAUACUAGAAAAGAGCAUGGAAGGAAUGCCACCAGUACACCUCCAUGUACCAUUACAAGUAUAUCAAGGAAAAUUAUCAACUCAGAGGGUAAAUUGGAAAUAGUGACUUACCACUCUAAUGUAUCCAAGAUGACAUCUGCCAUGGCGAGCCGAAUGAUGAAGCCUCCUUGCAAAUGCAAUGAUAAGUGCUAUCAUAAAGUUUCUAGAGAAGCCAGAGUAAAAAUUUUCGAUUAUUUUUGGAACGUUUGUAAAAAUUGGGAAGAAAGACGACAAUUCAUUGCAAAAUGUGUUGCAAAGAAAGAUAAGACCUGGAUCUCAUACUUUGACAACUGGAGGACUGGUCGGCUAAAACUAGAAUACGUAUACUCCUACGUCUUCUACCUUAACGGGAAGGCUAUAAAUGUGUGCAAAAUUAUGUUUUUGAACACGCUAGCGGUUGGAGAAAAGUACGUCACAAUUUGCGUAGAGAGCGGAGAAGCUCAGGCCAAAUAUAAUAAUAAUAAUAUGGAUGUAGAAUCAGAAAUUCCCCAAUACGAAAUUUUUAACGUUGAAUAAAUUGUAGAAUGAUUAAAUAUGGAAACAGACCAAAAUGUCAUAAUGUUCGCACAAACAUGGUGAUAAAGGCGAUAUAUGCAUAAGAGUGAGUAGGCUUACCGAGAUAUUUUCUGCAGGGUACUGAAUAUUGCCUUCGAACUUCGUAUGGAAGAUUCUCGUAAAGCAACGGAAGACUUUCUAAAUAUACUCGUCCUUUUGUAUGGGUGUGCUUAGAUGUAGACUUUUUGAGAUUUUACGCCAUUCGUGUAUUCGAUGUCGAUUACAAUACUUGUGUAUACUAAAGAUGUAGAUUUUGAUAAAUGUAUGUGUUAUAUAAUGUACGCAUUCUGACCUUUUAUGAAAAAUAUUAGAUAAAAACCUCUUUGUGGUACAGACAGUUUCUUAACUCGAAAAGAAAUUGGUUAUUUCGAACGUGUAAGCUUAAAUCUAUAAGAGAGUAGUCUGUGAUUUACACAACAGGGGUUAUAAGUAGGAACGUUGGUAAAACUUUUUAUAAUCAGUAGAUUUUCAUGUCUGUAUUAGGAGUCAUUAGACUAAAUCUUCCUUAUAAUUAACGUCUUGGCACUGAUUGCAAAUUAAAAGUGAUAAAACUUGAGAUCUCAUUUUGAUAUAUUUAUAUUUUUUAAUUAAGUGUUCGUGAAUUCGAAAUUCUAGUCUUAAGUAAUUAUGUGAUAAUCUAGUCGUUUUAGCGCUGGUUUAAACCAAUACUUAAAAUAACUAAAAGUUAAAUCAAAGAACCUAAAACGCUUAAGGUUCUAUAAACGUUCAUACUAUAUGGUAUAUAGUAUAUUCUCAUAUACUUCCAAUUUGGUAAUGAUUUUAACCAAUGCCAAAUAUAAAAAUACUCGAAGAGAUUUUUAAUUUUAAUUAGUAAGACGAAAUUAACGAUCAAUGUGAUAUUGGAUCUCAAACUAGUCGUGAUUUAGAAUUGUUUUGAACAAAAAUAUAAUUUUGGAUAGAUUUAUAUUUAGUUAAGUACAUAUCUUAUGUUUAUAAAUAUUGAAAGCGUCUCCGAGGGACGCGAAAACUUCCAUUUUGUAAGUUACUGUGUUAAUAAUGAUUAAAGAAUGAUCUCUAAGCCAAACUUUUGUAGUUUUUAAGUGAAAGUUAUCAAACAUGUUCACUUUCAUAAUUUCAGUAGAACAUAUUUAAUAAAUGUAAUCGAAGUAGUGAUAACCUAGUAGUUAGGCCCGGGACAUUAUCUGUUAGAUCUCGUGUUAAGCGCUGUGAUUAGAUCUUAGUCAAAAAAUUGUCGCGAUCAAUAGAUUGGACAACAGACUCUGUUGUUCAGCUUUGUGGAACCGGGUGUAGAUUAUUAGUUAUUAGAAAGCGUAAUUAAGAAUUACUAGUCUCCCUACAUUUAUAUAUACAACAUGUAGGAGCAUUCGUUUGAAUGGAUGUUUUAAAAUAAGUAUUAUGUAGUACAUUUUGACGUUUUUAAUGGUGAUGCAUUGAAUCGUGAAUACAUACUAAUUUUUUGUAUGUUAGUAUUUGUAAUGUAAUUAACGAUUAUAUUGUUAGUUAUAAACUUUUACACUUGGUCAGAAUUUACAAAGAAUAUUGUAGCAGAGUAAAAAAAAUAUGUUUUUGUGUAUAAAAUCUAAAACAAAAUUCAAAUCAACGGAUUAUCCGAAUUCUAUCUUUUUACUUGAAAUAUUUACUACAUAACUAUUUCUAUGUCUUCUUGAUAUGCAGAUUUUUCAUAUUAUAAUAAUGUUGAUAUCAACGAGGUAUUCAAUAAAAAUAAGUAUUAAGUGUCUCACAUAUUAUCCAAUCUGUACGUAAUUAAAUGUAAUAUUUUAAAUUGGUGUGAAUUAAACAUAUCGAUGUGGAUUUUAUGUAUUUAUUGUGUUCAAAACCCUUUGAGAAAAGUCAUCAUCAUCAAUAGCUUUGCGAUAAUAUCCAUCGUAAUACCGCUCUUAUUGAAAAAAGAUACAUCAUAGUUUCGUAUGAUGCGAGCGUCCGCCUUGAAUGCAGUGCGAAUUGAGUAUACCUAAGUAUGUAUAAACAUAAAGAGUGUUCUUUCGCAAGUAAGCACUCUCUUAUAUGUGUCAUUUGUUUACAGAUCUCAAGUACAUACUAACACAGUCUCAGCGUGGCAACCAGCUUUUGCUUCUACAAGAACACACGUUUUCAAGGGCAAACAAAUUGUCCCGCGUAUGGUGUUGUUCCAGUCGGCUUUCGAAGAACUGUCGCGCGAAGACCUUAAAUACACACUAACGAAGUCUCAUCGCGGCAGCCAGAUUAUGAUUCUACAAGAUCACACUUUUUCAAGAAUGAAUAAAAUAUCGUACAUCUGGCGUUGUUCCAGUCGGGGAUCAAAGAAUUGUCCUGCGAGGGUGUCGCUGGGACCCAAUAAUUGUUUAGUACCUCUGAACUUGCAGCACAAUCAUAGCCCUCCUCAGUAUUGCAUGACGAACACUGGCAUUUUGAUUAAACUGUGAUUUCAAUUAAGCAACUAAAGAUAUCGCUGUCAACUGGCAGUCAUAUGCAUCCCCUAAGUUUUGCCACAAAAUCACCAGCUUCUGCAGUCGGACUAGAUGAGCCCCGAGUAGAGACUGCAAAUUGGCAUACGGAGUUUAGAACAAUGGACGGAUGUCCUAAAAAGGUAGCUUCGAAUUGCGGAAAGACUUGGAGGGAUCAUUGAAAUGAAACUGUUUUUCGUCCUCAGGGACUUUCCGCCGCCUCUUAGGGUCAAACCCAACUGAAGGCGCAGUGGACCACAGUGCCAUUGCCUUCAAAUGACUAUGAACUUUUUUUAUACGUAGAUAAGAUUUAAAUUAUUUGUAGUAUUUCAAGUCCCGGUAUACCCGCUGUUUUUUCAGUGUGAAUUAAUCUUUAUUGAAUUUAUCCAUGAAAAGUAAUCCUCAAACGUCAACAACAAGAUCCCGCACCACAGUUCAUAGAGGUUUUACUCAGUGACUAAAUUUUGUGUAAUGUAAACAAUGUAUUUCAUGUAAGUUUUAUAUAACAUAAAUAAAUAAAAAACUAAUACUGAA